UACGGAGGGUGCAAGCGUUAUCCGGAAUUAUUGGGCGUAAAGAGCUCGUAGGCGGUCUGUCGCGUCUGCUGUGAAAACUCGGGGCUUAACCCCGGGCCUGCAGUGGGUACGGGCAGACUAGAGUGCGGUAGGGGAGACUGGAAUUCCUGGUGUAGCGGUGAAAUGCGCAGAUAUCAGGAGGAACACCGGUGGCGAAGGCGGGUCUCUGGGCCGUAACUGACGCUGAGGAGCGAAAGCAUGGGGAGCGAACAGG
rnacentral:rRNA from 1 species